UCUUAUGGUUGAGCAAAGAAAGUGGUUUUUCAAGAUGGAAACUUCUCCUGGUGAAGAUGCUGUGAA
rnacentral:pre_miRNA from 3 species